CUAGAAUAUGCAAGCCCUUCGGGGCUAGUGCACAGGUGGUGCAUGGCUGUCGUCAGCUCGUGUCGUGAGAUGUUGGGCUAAGUCCCGCAACGAGCGCAACCCCUGUCCUAUGUUGCCAGCGAGUAAUGUCGGGGACUCAUAGGAGACUGCCGGUGACAAAUCGGAGGAAGGUGGGGAUGAUGUCAAGUCAUCAUGCCCCUUAUGCCUAGGGCUACACACGUGCUACAUUGGCCGGUACAGAGGGCUGCAAACCCGCGAGGGGGAGCGAAUCCCAGAAAGCCGGUCCCGGUUCGGAUUGGAGGCUGAAACUCGCCUCCAUGAAGGCGGAGUUGCUAGUAAUCGCGGAUCAGCAAUGCCGCGGUGAAUACGUUCCCGGGCCUUGUACACACCGCCCGUCACACCAUGGAAGCCGGUAACACCCGAAGCCGGUGGCCUAACCCGCAAGGGAGGGAGCCGUCGAAGGUGGGAUUGGUGACUGGGGUG
rnacentral:rRNA from 1 species